CAAAGAAAGGUCAAUUCCAGCCUGUUUCCCACAUCCAUCAACUGUACAUUAGAUGAGUCAUGACUGCUCUUCGUCCCGUCUGAGGAAUACGUCAUCAGUUCAUCUCAGAAAUGGGGGUCGCGUUCCGAUGACCCGACGACAGGACGUUAACCGUUUGUUGGAACGCUGCGUUCUGGGUUUGGAGAGUCUCCCGGGAGCACUAAAACAGCAAUUUAAGGCAGCAAGUGAAGAAAUGAGAGCCGGUAAGAGACGGAUAAAUGCACCGGCAAGGUUGUGCGAUGUCAGACACAACACGACAACACAGAUCUUAAAGCUGCAGCUACACAACACAAAUACGCUGUAAGAGGCAAAACUAAACAUCAAGUAAAGGUUGGAGCCAUUUACAGAAAUAACCGACGGCAGUCGGAGUGAAUCACGCUUCGGAGGAUCUAGUAACAGCUGACUGUGAGUCAUCUUCGCCUCAUGACCGGCCGCUCCAUGGAAACAGAGGCCUCCACUUUACCUUGACCAAUAUGCCGUGAAGUGUGUCAAUCUGUUGAAUUUCUGUGGUUUAGUCUCUGAGGAAGGAAAAAAAAACACUUUACUGCUGCAGACAGAUCUAAACUCUGCAGAAAUGUGAUUUUUUAAAAAAAACCUUAUUGUUAACUAAGACAUUUAAUUUGUAUCUGUUUACAAAACAUGUGCAUCCAGAACUCAGUGGAUUUUCUCCUGCUGAAAUUAAAGUGACAUCGAACAAUUCAGCAUCUCUGAGUGAGAAGAACUGUCCAUUCCACAUGAUCGGCUAAAUGUACGAGAUGUUAAAAAAAAUGUAAAAGAUAAAGUAUUGAUUUCAGUUUAGGGCAGCACAGCUGUUAUCAUCAGUGAGUGCUGAGGUCAGUUGUUUUAGCUUUGCUUUAGCUCUGGAGAUUUAUCGCCUCUGUUGAAUCGCAGCAAAGAGAGAGAGAUAAAUUGAACACUGAUCCUCGGUGGAAUAAGAAAGCAGCUUCGCUCCAAAGUGAGAUAUAUGUGAGAUAUGAGUCGAAGCGUUUACGCCUCGGAAUGUGAUUGAUGGCGCAAAAUGAAAACAACAACUUAUCAACAAUUACUACUGAGAGGUAAGUACACCUCUUGGCGAACAUCUCGGAGUAAGUGCCGUUUUUCUUUACGCUGAAAACAAACUUUUCGACGUGUUUUUAAUCUGUCGUCACUUUAGCAGCUUUCUGCUCAUUACUGCCAAAAGCCCUCCAUUGUCCUCCAUUUAUAUUAAACAGUGGACAACCGUGAUAGCACCAGUUAAGUGCACGUCGCGCCGUAAUGAAGCCGCAUUCACACAGCGCAGCGCCACGGUUUUAUCCCAGAUAGGCUCAGUUUGGCUCCUCAUCUCCAUUAUCAGCCCUGCACUUAGAGAGCGGCUCGAAUUAAUGAGUCGAAUCAUCACAAUCUCAACCUGACAAUGCAAAAAAAAAAAAAAGGAUGAGGGCAGGUUUGAAAACUGCAUCUUGGGAGUUUGUGCGAAGGGCCUUUUAAUCCUGGCAAGAAUAAUACCAUUUGUCCGUAAUGACUUGUACUGUGCUGCUCCGCUGCUCGCAUAUUUAGAGGAAUUAUGUAGCAAAAUGCUCCUAAAACUUUUGCUGUACUUUACUUUUGAGAGUUUAACAGGUUAUUUGGUAGGAUUAUUUAAUGGUGACAUUAGAAAUAUGCACCGGCUAAACAUCCUCGGCUCCACCGUUUAUAUUUAUCAGCAGCUAUGUACAAUAGGAAAUGCAGACGGCGGCGCUACGCAGAGCUAAAAAUGAUUUGUAGGUUACAAUAACUCGCACGUACGGUCCAAGUAGCACACAUCCUGUUGCUCAUGAGAGGAAGGAAGCUGCCGUAUCCCUGCAAAUAGGAAAUGCAGGGGGGAGGGAUGAAUAGAUGGGAAAAACAGGGAGUGGAGACAAACAUUUGACAGUGCAGCUAAGGAUAUGGCAGCGAUGUGGAGACGCUGGAAGAUACUUCAAGAUCUUUGCAGCCAGGAGAGGAAGACAUGCUUCAGUCGUGUCCUAGUUUGAUCCCUGUUUUUUUGCAUUUUUUUUCUCCUUCUUGUGUCAGAAUAAUGAAAAACUGUCACCUGUGAUUGAUGUCAGAGCAAUGUAUUGAAAAGACUGAUAUUAAACAAAUCCUUGCAA